rnacentral:misc_RNA from 1 species
GAACGCAUCUUGCACCCUUUGGUAUUCCAAAGGGUACGCCUGUUUCAGUAUCAUUAUAACCUUUCUCCCCAAGGCUUUUUGGCCAAGGAGGGAAAGAGCAUAACCGGUGGCCCAGCGGUCUCCCUUCAGGGGGAUUGUCUCGGCUGGAAUGACUGUUGCAAUGGUGGGCCAAAUGGUCUUCCGCACUUGAUAAAUGUACUUUUAUAAAGAGCGGGACCGGUCUGCCGAAAGUUGUAACUAAACCCUUUACAUUUGAUCUGAAAUCAGGCGGGAUUACCCGCUGAACUUAAG